CCACACUGUCAAUCUCUUCCUUACUCUCUACGAAAUAGAGGGACAAUAUGGGCAGAACAUUCUCACCCAUAAGAACCAGUUAUUUCCUCAGACUGGAACAAGAAUUAUUAACACAAAUACUUAAAAGCUACUGAAACUUGAACAAAACUAUGAAUUAAAAUGUCUAAUAUUACAAUCAAUUCAGUCACACUAGCGAUACAUGAAUGCUAAGGAGACAACUCUGAAAGACGAUUUAGUGAUUGAACAUGGAGUUUAUUUUCCUUAGAGUACAUGAAAUUGGAGCAUCAGAACUGAUCCCUCAAACUUAACAAAUGAAUCAUUGCCAGCAUAUUAGUCAAUACCUAAUUCGAUAAACAGAAAAAGACGAGUUGUUUACACCAUACGUUUGUCCUCAACGAACUAAACUUUCAAGCAGAUCCAGUACAUGAAGGAUGAAUCACUAAGCAUUGAUACUGAAUAUCCAACUAAUCAUUGACUAACAUAACAGAUUUAUCAUAUUUAAGUAAGAGCUAAAAAAGGAAGAAGUUAGAGGAAAGAGCUGGAUGACUCAAAAUAACAUGAAAACUAAAGUUCAACACGAGUAACUUCAUUGAUUUCACAGCACAAGUACAUUUUCCACACAAAUAUGUUUACAUUCCAUUUUCCAUUCAAGGUUCAAAGAAGUACCUGGAUACAAUAAGUGAAUAGAAUAAGAAAGAUAUCUCUGAAAUUAACGAGUAAUAGCCGCAAAUAAUAAUAAAAAUAGCUAAAGGACAUCUCAAACAACCCAACAAAUGACACUGGAGGACAUCACACUAAGCCUUGAUUUCAAAACCAAAAAUCCAACUGUAAUCUUAAGACCAAUGAAAAUCUAAUGCAAGGUCAUUUCUCAAUGAGAAGGAAAUUCAUUACUUUCAGAAAUAGGGGUUCAAAUCUGAAAUCUGUCUUAAAAUUAAUCUUAAAAGAUGAUGGAAUGUGUCCUUUGAGAGAGAGAAGGGUUUUAUAUAUAUAUGGAAUGAAAUAUGCCAUGUGCUCCUAAGGAUAAGGGAAUCAUUCUCUAAAACUAAUCCUAAUUUUCAGGAAAAGAGCAUCUUUUUUAACAGAUAAUGGACAGUUGCCCAUUUCUAUUCAAUUUCAGCAUCUUUUUACAACAAAUUUGGAUAGUUAUCUAAAAUCUAGAAACUUCCUAAUGCCUUAUCUGAAAUUCCCAUUUUUACCUCCCAAUUGACCCCCUUUAAAUUUCGUUUGUUACCAAUAACCCCCUAUACUUUUUAAUUAGCAAUCAAACCUUCCCCAUCACAUAAUGAAAACAAGCAUCAGAAACAAAUAAAUAGAGAAACAAACUAUUACCCUAAAAAAAACCUAGCUGAAUUACUGCAUUAAUAAAGAAAACUGAUCGGAUUACCUUAAACACCAAAUAUUAACUAAUAAAUAAGCGAUUAAUAAUUAAACUAACUACACUACCAAGUAACCUAAGGAUUAAACACGGACUAUUAUCAAGAUUUAAGAAAAAAUGAAAGAAAAUAAAUAAAUAAAAAUGAAACAGCAAUAAUUAGUAUGGAAAGUACUAAAAGGAAGUAAAUUAAACCUAAAACGACUUCCCACGAGGCUGGCAGGAGUCCGGUGAGUCAGUCAAAAUCUAAUAACCUCAGAGUGACUCAAAACUAACGUCAUCUUGUUGAUAGAAAUCUAUUAACGUAAGCUUUAGGCCAAAUCGAGUUGGAAAAGCACGAAAAUCAGAAAAGGAGAAAGAAGUUAUGUUUCUGGAUUUUAGAUUUGAAAUUGAGGGGAAUCUGUUGGGAUUUUUGUGAGAUUAAUGGUAGGAUGAUGAUAGGCUGAUGUGAGGAGUAUGAGAUGUUAAUUUUGGGUUAUUUGGUGACAGGCCGCCGCCGUGGGGCAAUUUUCGGUGGGCGGCGGCGGGUGGUGAAGGAUUUUAGGGGCUAAGUGAGAGAAGAGGG
rnacentral:lncRNA from 1 species